rnacentral:lncRNA from 1 species
AGGUGAUUGGGGACCACCAGGGGAUGGUGGGCAACCACCAGGAGAUGAAUGGGGACCACCAGGAUGUAACUUGACCAUCAGGGGAUGACUGGGGACCACCAAGAGGUGACUGGAGACCACCAGGAAAUGUUGGGCAACCACAAGGAGGUGAUUGGGGACCAUCGGGACGUGGCUGACCACCAAGAGGUGACUGGGGACCACCAGGAAGUGACUGGGAACAAGCAGUGGAUGUUUGGUGACCUGGGCACCACCAGGAGGUGACUGGGGACCACCAGGAGAUGUUGGGCAACCAUCAGGAGGUGACUGGGGACCAGCAGGGCAUGACUGACCAGCAGGGGAUGGUUGGAGACUACCAGGAGGUGACCGAGGACCACCAGGAGUUGUUGGGCAACCACAAGGAGGUGAUUGGGGACCAUCGGGACGUGGCUGACCACCAGGGGAUGACUGGGGACCAUCAGGGGAUGUUGGACAACCACCAAGAGGUGACUGGGGACCACCAGGAGGUGACUGGGAACAAGCAGUGGAUGUUUGGUGACCUGGGCACCACCAGGAGGUGAUUGGGGACCACCAGAAGAUGGGUCGACCACCAGGAGAUGUCGAGUAAGUAUCAGGGGGACAUCAGAGGACCAUCACGGGAUACUGGGGACCCCGAGGGACCAGCCCUCGGUGUGCACUGGGUCUGGAAGAGUCCUGGGGCACUCACCAGCUUCUGCAUGUUGGCAGCGGGUGGCUGCACUUUGCUCCUCAGCUUGUUGUGCAGCGAGAGCACCAGGAAGGUCUCCUUCGCGCUGAGAGCUGCGGAGGGUGAGGGGCGGCCGGGGGCUGGGGCCGGGGGCCGAGCGGGUGCCCCCACCACGGCCGGUCCCACGCGGCAGCCGGGGAUAUGGGGAAGGCUCCCAGGUCUCCAUGGAGACUGGAGGGAGCGAAGGAAGCGCUUUUGGGCAGGAGCACAAAGGGGACAGGGGCCGGGCAGGGGGAGGCGAGACCACCGGGAAUGCGCCCGGUCUCCAGAUGGCAUCGGGGUGUUGGGCACCGCGCUGCCUCCCUCUGGGAUGGAUCUGUCACCAGCCCCGAGCCCCCAGCACUGUACCUGGGUCCCUAUUACCAGCCCCGUGUCCCCACCACCAGCCCCACAUCCCCAUCACCACCCCAAACCCCUGCCCUCCUGGGGAGCACCUGGUUAGGGACAGGACUGGGGCGCAAUCAUCCCAUCCCCUUAGGGACUUCCCAAGCUGCCCCCCCAGGGCAGUGAGCCCCCCUGUCCCCUCUCCCCGUUACCUCGGGGCCCCGGAGCCAGUGGGGACAGUUUCUCCGUCUCUCCCAGCCUCCAGACCAGGCAGGCCAGCAGCACCAGGAGCCGGCCGGCCGGACCCCUGCCGUCCUCCAUGCCCCGCAGCCGCUCUCACAGAAGGGAAGAUUUGGGAGGGAAGGGAGGAUUUGGGGAGGGACGAGCCGGUCCUGCGUGCCUGUGUGUCUGCUUCCAAGAUUUUAUCCUAUUCAGGACUUCAGACAGGCACUGCUGGUCAGCCCGAACAAAAGGUUGACGGCCUGCGUGGCAGCAGCCAGCCCCGCCGCGAUGCUGCUCGUCCUGCUGCCAGCCUGGGUGGCUCUGUGUGUCCUGCAGCUGCCCCUCGGCAGCACCCAGGUAAGGACCCCACUCCCAAAAUCAGCAUAGACACAUUACCUGUGGGGCUGCCCUGGGCCAUGGGGUGGUUUUGGGGCUCAGCCCCUGCUGGGGAGGAUGCUGGACCCUGCUGGGGUGUUCCCUCAGCACCAGAGUAGGGCCAGGAGGGGGGCUGGGGUUGGAGCAGAUGCAGAAGCAAAGACAAACCCCGCGGUGGGAUGGGGAGAGAUGAGCUCAGAGCAUCCCAACCGUCCCCAAGUGCUGCCCGCCUGCAUGGGAGGG